rnacentral:rRNA from 1 species
UACGUAGGGUGCAAGCGUUGUCCGGAAUUAUUGGGCGUAAAGAGUUCGUAGGCGGUUUUGUCGCGUCCGGUGUGAAAGCCCGGGGCUUAACCCCGGGUCUGCAUUCGAUACGGGGCUAGCUAGAGUGUGGUAGGGGAGAUCGGAAUUCCUGGUGUAGCGGUGAAAUGCGCAGAUAUCAGGAGGAACACCGGUGGCGAAGGCGGAUCUCUGGGCCAUUACUGACGUGAGGAGCGAAAGCGUGGGGAGCGAACAGG